AUACUCCUCAUGGGAGUGAGGAAGGAGAUACCAUGGUCACUAAGGUGGUUUUCCCAGGAUGAGACUUAGCCAUGGAACUACAGACGUACUAACUCCUGUAAUUUCUUCAAAUGUGGGAAACUCAACUGAGUAAUUUGUGGUAGUGGGGGACAGAAUUUGUGCUCUCCCCUA